rnacentral:rRNA from 1 species
CCUACGGGAGGCAGCAGUGAGGAAUAUUGGUCAAUGGACGAGAGUCUGAACCAGCCAAGUAGCGUGAAGGAUGACUGCCCUAUGGGUUGUAAACUUCUUUUAUAUGGGAAUAAAAUGUUCCACGUGUGGGAUUUUGUAUGUACCAUAUGAAUAAGGAUCGGCUAACUCCGUGCCAGCAGCCGCGGUAAUACGGAGGAUCCGAGCGUUAUCCGGAUUUAUUGGGUUUAAAGGGAGCGUAGGUGGAUUGUUAAGUCAGUUGUGAAAGUUUGCGGCUCAACCUUAAAAUUGCAGUUGAAACUGGCAGUCUUGAGUACAGUAGAGGUGGGCAGAAUUCGUGGUGUAGCGGUGAAAUGCUUAGAUAUCACGAAGAACUCCGAUUGCGAAGGCAGUUCACUGGACUGCAACUGACACUGAGGCUCGAAAGUGUGGGUAUCAAACAGGAUUAGAUACCCGAGUAGUC